rnacentral:lncRNA from 1 species
GGGGCGCCAAGUUCGUCCGGCGGAAAAAGGCCACAAAAACGGGUGGGCUAUAGCCUUGGGGGGUGGGGCUGGCCAUCUUCAUCCGCCGGACUCGGAAUGCCGCGAGACUUUGCGAGGGAUCUCUAUGUGCCAUAAAUAAUCCACGGGCAAAGCCGCGCCUAAAAAUAACCACCCGAAGGCCGGGGCGCCAAGUUCGUCCAGCCGAAAAAGGCCACAAAAAUGGGUGGGCUAUAGCCUUGGGGGGUGGGGCUGGCCAACUUCGUCUGCCGGACUCGGAAUGCCGCGAGACUUUGCGAGGGGCCUCCAUGUCCCAAAAAUAGGCCGCGGGCAAAGCCGCGCCCAAAAAUAACCACCCGAAGGCCGGGUCUCCAAGUUCGUCCAGCGGAAAAAGGCCACAUAAACGGGUGGGCUAUAGCCUUGGGGGGUGGGGCUGGCAGACUUCGUCCGCCGGACUCAGAAUGCCGCGAGACUUUGCGACGGGCCUCCGUGUGCCAAAAAUAGGCUGCGGGCAAAGCCGCGCCCAAAAAGAACCGCCCGAAGGCCGGGGCGCCAAGUUCGUCCGGCGGAAAAAGGCCACAAAAACGGGUGGGCUAUAGCCUUGGGGGGUGGGGCUGGCCAUCUUCGUCCGCCGGACUCGGAAUGCCACGAGACUUUGCGAGGGGCCUCCAUGUGCCAAAAAUAGGCCGCGGGCAAAGCCGCGCCCAAAAAUAACGGCCUGAAGGCCGGGGCUCCAAGUUCGUCCAGCGGAAAAAGGCCACAAAAACGGGUGGGCUAUAGCCUUGGGGGGUUGGGCUGGCCAACUUCGUCCGCCGGACUCGGAAUGCCGCGAGACUUUGCGAGGGGCCUCCGUGUGCCAAAAAUAGGCCGCGCCCAAAAAUAACCGCCCGAAGGCCGGGGCGCCAAGUUCGUCCGGCGGAAAAAGGCCACAAAAACGGGUGGGCUAUAGCCUUGGGGGGUGGGGCUGGCCAACUUCGUCCGCCCAACUCAGAAUGCCGCGAGACUUUGCGAGGGGCCUCCGUGUACCCAAAAUAGGCCGCGGACAAAGCCGCGCCCAAAAAUAACCGCCCGAAGGUCGGGGAGCCAAGUUCGUCCAGCGGAAAAAGGCCACAAAAACGGGUGGGCUAUAGCCUUGGGGGGUGGGGCUGGCCCACUUCGUCCGCCGGACUUAGAAUGCCGCGAGACUUUGCGACGGGCCCUCGUGUGCCAAAAUAGGCUGCGGACAAAGCCGCGCCCAAAAAUAACCGCCCGAAGGCCGGGGCGCCAAGUUCGUCCAGCGGAAAAAAGGCCACAAACACGGGUGGGCUAUAGCCUUGGGGGGUGGGGCAAGCCGACUUCGUCCGCCGGACUCAGAAUGCCGCGAGACUUUGUAACGGUCCUCCGUGUGCCAAAAAUAGGCCGCGGGCAAAGCCGCGCCCAAAAAUAACCGCCCGAAGUCCGGGGCGCCAAGUUCGUCCAGCGGAAAAAGGCCACAAAAACGGGUGGGCUAUAGCCUUGGGCGGUGGGGCUGGCCAACUUCGUCCACCGGACUCAGAAUGCCGCGAGACUUUGCGAGGGGCCUCCUUGUACCAAAAAUAGGCCGCGGGCAAAGCCGCGUCCAAAAAUAAACGCCCGAAGGCCGGGGAGCCAAGUUCGUCCAGCGGAAAAAGGCCACAAAAACGGGUGGGCUAUAGCCUUGGGGGGUGCGGCUGGCCCACUUCGUCCGCCGGACUAGGAAUGCCGCGAGACUUUGCGAGGGCCUCCGUGUGCCAAAAAUAAGCCACGGGCAAAGUCGCGCCAAAAAGUAACCGCCUGAACGCCGGGGCGCCAAGUUCGUCCAGCGGAAAAAGGCCACAAAAACGGGUGGACUAUAACCUUGGGGGGUGGGGCGGGCCGACUUCGUCCGCCGGACUCGGAAUGCUGCGAGACUUUGCGAGGGGCCUCCAUGUGCGAAAAAUAGGCCGCGGGCAAAGCCGCGC